UACGGGGGGGGCAAGCGUUGUUCGGAAUUACUGGGCGUAAAGGGCUUGUAGGCGGCCAACUAAGUCCGACGUGAAAUCCCCAGGCUUAACCUGGGAACUGCGUCGGAUACUGGAUGGCUUGAAUUCGGGAGAGGGAUGCAGAAUUCCAGGUGUAGCGGUGAAAUGCGUAGAUAUCUGGAGGAAUACCGGUGGCGAAGGCGGCAUCCUGGACCGACACUGACGCUGAGGAGCGAAAGCUAGGGGAGCAAACGGG
rnacentral:rRNA from 1 species